UUAUCUUCCCACGUUUAGUUUUGUUUUAAUAUUUUUUGUUAUUUUCGUAUCUCAGAGACCAUGAUUUCUCAUCCUUCACCAAAAUUUUGAUAACUGCUUACUGUUCUAUCAUUUACCAAAAACAUAUGAUACUCCGUACUUUUCUUCACCAUAAACUCAUAAAAUUAAAAUCUGAAAUUCGUUCUCUUUGGAAAUCAAAUUAGGGGUAAUUUCGAUUCAAUUUUGAUUUGAGGAAGUUGAUUUCUUGUUCGAGCUAUUCGAAGAAUCUUUAAAGUAUUAUCUACUACGCAAUUGUCGUAGUAAAAUUGAUGAAUGAUGAACACUGGCAGGCAAAGGUCCAUGAGCGACGGGGUUCAACAUGUAUUGGGAUUUAACACCGAAGAUAAUUUACGCCAAUCUCUCAUGAGGCACCGAAGAUAAUUCAUCAUUUUCUUCCGUUCCGUGAUAAUAUACAUCGGAAAAGAAAAUGCAAGGAAGAUAAUGGAUGAUUGUUCCCGUAACAUACCUACACUUGAAUUACUCUACGAUAUGCAUGGUGGAUGUGCUGAACCUCAUUUACCUAUCGAGCCGAAAAUCGAGCCCGAAAAUGAACAGGAUGGAUCAAAGAAGAGGAAGGUGGCCUGGUAUGCAUGGAUCUCACCGGAGAUAAGCCUGUGGAAAUUAUAGAUUAAUUAAUUCAGUUUUUUUUCCUAACAAUGUUAGUGUUAGAGAUAGAUUAGGAUUGUAUUAUCCUAAUAGUAGUAGUAUUCUAGUAGUAAGAGAAUUGUUAUGCAAAUGAAAUAGUCAAUCCUAAAUCCUAAUUGACGUAGGAGUUAAAUAUUUUGUAGUAUAUAUUGCUUUUACUCUAAUAGAAGAAGCAAGAUUAUGCCAUUGUCUA